UUUCACUUAAAGGAAUUUAUCCCCUGGUGUUUCUGGCUUCUUCUUUCUAGAUACAACAAGUUCCACUACAGGCUCCAUCGUCAUCCCAAAGGAAUAAACCAAUGAACCAAAAGUUUGUACCUCAUCAUUCAAGGCUCCAUCACAGUCCGAAGCUCCACCGUUGUUCCAUGCUUCCGACCAUCAUUUCAGCUUCCGAAUUGUUGUUCAAGGCACCCCAACCAUCCUUAAAUCGUGUCUCCCUGCUAUCGUGGUUCGUUGAUUUGCUGUCAAACAUCCUUGUCUAAACUGAAGGUGCUGCCAAUUUUCAUUCAGUUUUUAACUAUUUGAAAUUUUGUUAUACAUAAG
rnacentral:lncRNA from 1 species